rnacentral:rRNA from 1 species
GUCCACAGCGACGGGGAGGUUUGGCACCUCGAUGUCGGCUCAUCACAUCCUGGGGCUGUAGUAGGUCCCAAGGGUUGGGCUGUUCGCCCAUUAAAGUGGUACGCGGGCUGGGUUCAGAACGUCGGGAGACAGUUCGGUCCCUAUCCGUCGCAGGCGUAGGAAAUUUGAGAAGACCUGUCCUUAGUACGAGAGGACCGGGAUGGACGUACCUCUGGUGUACCAGUUGU